rnacentral:lncRNA from 1 species
UGGUAGGCAAAUCAGGCAACUUAGGGCAGUUCUUGUUUAGGUGUUUCCGGCUUUGGUAGGUUGGGUAAUUUAGGUAUUUCUGGUUUGGGUAACUCAGGAACUUUGGGCAAUUCUGGUUUCGGCACUUCAGGAAUUUUAGGCAAUUCUGGUUUUGUUAAUUCGGGAAUUUUCGGUAAUUCAGGAGCUUUUGGCAAUUCUGGCUUAGGCACCUCAGGAACUUUUGGCAACUCGGGAGCCUUGGGCAACUCUGGCUUGGGCACCUCGGGAACUUUAGGCAACUCUGGCUUUGGUAACCCGGGAACUUUUGGUGCUUCAGAUUUUGACAAUUUAGGAGCUUUGGGCAUCUCAGGAACUUUAGGUAAUUCUGGAACUUUGACUUCUUCAGGUUUUUUCAACUCGGGAACCUUAGGAAAUUCAGGCUUUGGCAACUCUGGCACUUUUGGAAACUCAGGAACCUUAGGUAGUUCAGGUUUUGGCAACUCUGGCACUUUCGGAAACUCGGGAACCUUAGGCAAUUCAGGUUUUGGCAACUCCGGAACUUUAGGCAAUUCAGGCUUUGGCAACUCAGGCAUUUUAGGUAUUUCGAGUUUUGGGAUUUCCGGUAAUUCAGGCUUUGGAAGUUCAACCUUUGGGAAGGACGGUAUCUUAGGCAACUCCGGUUUAGGAAUCUCCGGCACAGAUGUCUCCAAAAGACGCCGAGCACCAACCAAGACUGUGUUGCUGCUCAUCAAUGACAAAGUGACGAAUAAAAACGGUAGCACAAAGAAAGGCAAACGAUGGGAAGCCAUGAUUAAGAAAAAUCAGAGGGGAGAUGACAACAAGUGCUUCAAAAUGAAUACUUGAAGUGUGCUUGUUUAUGCAAUUGCAAGAGAUGAUGAGCCUUUUAUAGGUAUUGGGAAG